AUGUUUGACGGAGUUGAGCGGAUGCUUCGGGGAGUUAGGCAUGUGUCGGGGCUAAGAAGGAAUCUAAUUUCGCUUGGAGUUCUUCAUGAUGGUGGUAUGGUAUUCCGUUGUGAUCAGGAUAAAAAGAACAUGAGAAUCAUGGAAGAUGAGGUGACUGUGAUGAUUGGAAGGAGGACGGCUUUGCAUCUUUACAAGUUGUAA
rnacentral:rRNA from 1 species